rnacentral:tRNA from 1 species
GUGAAUGUGGUUCAGUGGUAGAAUUCUUGUCUUCCAUGCGGGAGACCCAGGUUCAAUUCUUGGCCAGUGCA